UGCCACCAAUGUGCUGUAUGGCCCUAUAAAU
rnacentral:piRNA from 1 species